rnacentral:rRNA from 1 species
AACAGGUGGAGAUUCCUGUACUGCGGUAUGACAGAACUGUGGGGACACGUAAGGAAAGCGGAAGCCGGGAAUGGAAAGCCCGGUGCAAGCGGGGUACCAGUCACUCUGGCAAAUCCGGGUGGCAAUGGGAAGCCGUGAUGCGGAGCGAAAUAAAGUAGCGAAGUCCGUGAGCCAUGCGUCAAGAAAAGCCGCUAUCGUUUAUACCGUACCCGUACCGUAAACCGACACAGGUGGAUGAGGAGAGAAUCCUAAGGCCGGCGGAAGAAGCAUUGUCAAGGAACUCGGCAAAAUGGCCCCGUAACUUAGGGAUAAGGGGUGCCUGGGAAACCAGGCCGCAGAGAAUAGGCUCAAGCAACUGUUUAGCAAAAACACAGGUCUAUGCGAAACCGAAAGGUGAGGUAUAUGGGCUGACGCCUGCCCGGUGCUGGAAGGUUAAGAGGAGAGGUUAGCGCAAGCGAAGCUUUGAAUUUAAGCCCCAGUAAACGGCGGCCGUAACGAUAACGGUCCUAAGGUAGCGAAAUUCCUUGUCGGGUAAGUUCCGACCCGCACGAAAGGCGUAAUGAUUUGAGCGCUGUCUCGACAAUGCAUCCGGUGAAAUUGAAGUACCAGUGAAGAUGCUGGUUACCUGCGCCAGGACGGAAAGACCCCAUGGAGCUUUACUCCAGUUUGGUACUGGGACUCGGUAUUGCAUGUACAGGAUAGGUGGGAGGCUAGGAGAUAGUAACGCCAGUUAUUAUGGAGCCGCUGUUGGGAUACCACCCUUGCAGUAUUGGGUUUCUAACCAGCCGCCGUGACCCGGCGGUGGGACAAUGCCAGACGGGGAGUUUGACUGGGGCGGUCGCCUCCGAAAGGGUAUCGGAGGCGCCCAAAAGGUUCCCUCAGAAUGGACGGAAACCAUUGAAGAGUGCAAAGGCAGAAGGGAGCUUGACUGCGACACCGACGGGUGGAGCAGGUACGAAAGUAGGGCUUAGUGAUCCGGUGGUAUUAAGUGGGAAUGCCAUUGCUCAACGGAUAAAAGCUACCCUGGGAUAACAUGCUUAUCACUCCCAAGAGUUCACAUCGACGGAGUGGUUUGGCACCUCGAUGUCGGCUCAUCGCAUCCUGGGGCUGUAGUAGGUCCCAAGGGUUGGGCUGUUCGCCCAUUAAAGCGGUCGCGAGCUGGGUUCAGAACGUCGUGAGACAGUUCGGUCCCUAUCCGGCGUGGGCGUAGGAUAUCUGAGAGGAGCUGUCCUUAGUACGAGAGGACCGGGAUGGACGGGCCGCUGGUGCAUCGGUUAGACUGCCAAGUCUACGGCCGAGUAGCCAAGCCCGGAAGGGAUAAACGCUGAAGGCAUCUAAGCGUGAAGCCCCCCUUAAGAUGAGAUAUCCCAUUCGAAAGAAGUAAACCCCCUUGAAGACGACGAGGUAGAUAGGGCAGAGGUGGAAGUGUGGCAACACAUGGAGCUGACUGUUACUAAUCGGGUGAGGGCUUGAUC